GCCCUUAGAGUUUGAUCCUGGCUCAGGAUGAACGCUGACAGAAUGCUUAACACAUGCAAGUCGAUUCUAUUUACCUUCGGGUAUUGAGGAUGGCGGACGGGUGAGUAACGCGUAAGGAACUUGCCUCUUGGACUGGGACAACUGUUGGAAACGACAGCUAAUACCGGAUAUUAUGAGAUUCUCGCAUGAAAAACUUAUGAAAGCUAUAUGCGCCAAGAGAGAGCCUUGCGUUCCAUUAGCUAGUUGGUGGGGUAAUGGCCCACCAAGGCGACGAUGGAUAGCCGGCCUGAGAGGGUGAACGGCCACAAGGGGACUGAGACACGGCCCUUACUCCUACGGGAGGCAGCAGUGGGGAAUAUUGGACAAUGGGCCACAAGCCUGAUCCAGCAAUUCUGUGUGCACGAUGAAGGUCUUCGGAUUGUAAAGUGCUUUCAGUUGGGAAGAAGAAAGUGACGGUACCAACAGAAGGAGCGACGGCUAAAUACGUGCCAGCAGCCGCGGUAAUACGUAUGUCGCAAGCGUUAUCCGGAUUUAUUGGGCGUAAAGCGCGUCUAGGCGGAAAAAUAAGUCUGAUGUUAAAAUGCGGGGCUCAACUCCGUAUUGCGUUGGAAACUGUUUUUCUAGAGUACUGGAGAGGUGGGCGGAACUACAAGUGUAGAGGUGAAAUUCGUAGAUAUUUGUAGGAAUGCCGAUGGAGAAGUCAGCUCACUGGACAGAUACUGACGCUGAAGCGCGAAAGCGUGGGGAGAAAACAGGAUUAGAUACCCUGGUAGUCCACGCCGU
rnacentral:rRNA from 1 species